rnacentral:rRNA from 1 species
UACGUAGGGGGCAAGCGUUGUCCGGAAUUAUUGGGCGUAAAGAGCGUGAAGGCGGUCCGGUAAGUCGGCUGUGAAAGUCCAGGGCUCAACCCUGGAAUGCCGGUGGAUACUGCCGGGCUAGAGUCCGGAAGAGGCGAGUGGAAUUCCUGGUGUAGCGGUGAAAUGCGCAGAUAUCAGGAGGAACACCGAUGGCGAAGGCAGCUCGCUGGGACGGUACUGACGCUAAGGCGCGAAAGCGUGGGGAGCGAACAGG